GGGCCAUUAGCUCAGGUGGUUAGAGCGCACCUCUGAUAAGGGUGAGGUCCCUGGUUCAAGUCCAGGAUGGCCC
rnacentral:tRNA from 1 species